AUAGAGUAUAACUGAAAAAGAAAUUGGAUGCCAAGAAUUUCAGUGGAUCAAAAGCAUCUUGGGAUGGAAAAGAAAUUAGCUGCGGCUUCAAGUGCUCUAGAAAGCUACGGGUUUGCAGACUGUCACAGAAGAAGAAGUUAAAGGUGGUUGAAACCCGCAUGCAGAAAGGCAGAAUUCCAGGACAUCACAUGAUGGAGAGGUCCUCAGAUUGUGCAUAUAUUAUUCUUCAGAAACGCUGAAGAUCACCUUUCAC